AAGGGAGACCUAAUUCAGGUAGGAGACGAAAAAAAGUAGUCCCUACCAAGAAUCAAUCCCAAAAGGUCGGAGCGAGGCAAAAUUGGCUUUCAAACUAGGUUCUGGGUUCACACAAGACCUGAAUCAGGAACAAGGGCUAUUAGCUCAGGUGGUUAGAGCGCACCCCUGAUAAGGGUGAGGUCCCUGGUUCGAGUCCAGGAUGGCCCACCUGCACAGGUGGAAGAAAGAAAAGAAGCUCCGAAUCAGCACCUUAUCUUACUUAUAUAGUAAGAGAGAAUGCUGGCUCUGAGUACAGAGUCCAGAGGAACCUUGAAAACUGCAUAGAGCUAGGUGAAAAAGCCAAAAAAGAAGACCGCAAGGUCAAGCUAAUAAGGGCUAACGGUGGAUACCUAGGCAC
rnacentral:tRNA from 1 species